rnacentral:rRNA from 1 species
GGGUGCUCGAGUGGCGAACGGGUGAGUAACACGUGAGUAACCUGCCCUUGACUUUGGGAUAACUUCAGGAAACUGGGGCUAAUACCGGAUAGGAGCUCCCGCUGCAUGGUGGGGGUUGGAAAGUUUCGGCGGUUGGGGAUGGACUCGCGGCUUAUCAGCUUGUUGGUGGGGUAGUGGCUUACCAAGGCUUUGACGGGUAGCCGGCCUGAGAGGGUGACCGGCCACAUUGGGACUGAGAUACGGCCCAG